CAGAUGAAGUUGACGAACGUGUGUCGUAUUCAAAAUCGCUGUCAGCGGUUUGUUUUUACGGCCGAUGUGGGCCGGCGGCUUUGGUCAAUGCAACGCGUCUAGCGUCGAUGGUGACCCUGCGGAGGGACAAUCAGUCGUCGUACGGUGCUUGGUAUGGCUAAGGUUUCGCCGGUCUUAAAGUCAGCGCCUCAUCUGACCCGUCUUGAAACACGGACCAAGGAGUGUAGCGUUUGCGCAAGUCUUAGAGUGUAUCGAAACUUUGAGGCGUAACGAAAGUAAAUGCAGUUUAAUCUGCUGACUUGGGAUGCGUUGUCUCUUGUGGACGGCGCUGGACCAAGGUUUUAUCGCGAUCGCUUGCGGUGCGGUGAAAAUAGAGCGUAAACGGUGCGACCCGAAAGAUGGUGAACUAUGCCUGAGCAGGAUGAAGCCGGAGGAAACUCUGGUGGAAGUCCGAAGCGGUUCUGACGUGCAAAUCGAUCGUCUGACUUGGGUAUAGGGGCGAAAGACUAAUCGAACCAUC
rnacentral:rRNA from 1 species